UGAGGCAACAUGGGCGGUAACCAUGUACUUCCCUCUCCUCCAAUCAAAUGACAGAGUGUUAGAACAGAAGCAGCGUGGGAUUUACCUUGAACUUGGAACCUGAGGUUGAGAAAAUAAUUCCACCUGAAGGCCACCAUGCUGCGAGGAGGCCCAAGUGAUCUUUGGAGAGGCCCACAUAGAGAAGAAUCAGCGCUAGGACCAACUGGCCAACCGUGGGCGUGAGCCAUCUUGAAAACGGAUUCCCGCGUUCUAGUUGAGCUGUCCCAGCUGACACGGAGUGGCGCAGAGAGUCCCACGCAAAGCUGCAGCAGCUACCUGGAGGCAUGUUCUUCUCCUGGCGACGGCAGGGGUUCGGGAGGCCAGGCCCAAACGAGGAAGCGCGUUUGAAAACCUCCGACUGGAUUCUGUUGACUUCCGUUCCAUCCACCAAAGUUCUCCUCACUGCUCCUCCUGGGAACAGAGUCUGGGGGGAGCCAGUGUGUUCCAGAAGAGUCAGCACAGUCCGAGGGAGAGGUCGGCCCUCUGGCAGCAGCCAGCCGAUGAGAACCAAUUAUACACAUCUCUUCCCAACUCUGCAGCAGGUGAUGUCAAGUCGAGAGCUUGAAAUCUGACCACAUUGGGAGUAUUUACACCACAGGAAUCGGCGAGCACUACAGAUGGGCCUUCCCCACCCCGGGAGAGCCAGUUGUUAAAUAUUUACCAGCACAUCGCUGCUGCUGAGGGACAGGUCUGUGCCAUCAAAACCUUAGAAGUGCCUUUCUCGAGAUUUCUUGGAAGUCUACUGUUCUCCUUGUAAAGGCAAAAUGAGAGUUGCUCCAGAAUGAAUGAAAUGGAAUUAAAUGUGCAGGCACGCACAAGCUCACGCCUGGCACGGAGCCCAACACGGGGCUUGAACUCACAACCCGGAGAUCAAGACCUGAGCCGAGAUCAGGAGUCGGACGCUUAACCGACUGAGCCACCCAGCCGUUCGUUCCCUUCCUUUCCUCAGAUGACAUCACGCCUGAACACAGCACACGGCUCUCCAUCACUUUAAAGGGGGAGCGCUUUGCAUGCCAUCUUUCCCUUCAAACCCUUACGAACCAGAGCUUCACUGGGAGCCCCGGGAUGGGCAUUUUCCUUCAGGUACAAGGAUCAUUACAAGGCAAGCAUUCUUAAACCGGGUCUGCUCCCAACACAGCAUUUCCACAUAUGGAUAUUAAUUUAUGUGAUCACUUGAAUACAAACGCUCAGCUGUCUCCAUAAGUUAUAGAAGCAAUCAUCCCAGGGAGCAUCGGAGACACCGAGAGUCAAUUCCUGUGUAAUAAUUUCAUAUUCGAGCCAGGGAUGCCAAAUCACGGCCCCUUUGGAUAAAAUGUGAGCCUGUGGAAACACUCCCCUCCCCCUUUUUAUUAUUGUGCAUUUUAUUUCUCCAUAAAAUACGUUUAUGCCCUGGAAAAACAAACCAACCCAGGGGGCCAGGCUGACAGCGUGAUGCAGGGGGUGCUCUGCCGGGAAGCUUCUGACUCAGCCACUAGCAAGCACGGCGAUAAGGGAGUGUGUCCGUGAGCUGCUGAGAAAGCCCUCCUGGGGCCAAACCUUGAGGGGGCAGGCAGCCAAAGAUCGCCAAGCCUUGGAACAGAAAAUCACCGAGCCUUGGAAUGGAAGAAGGUCAUCUGGCCCCGCUUCCCAUCUUGGUGGGAAGCCUCUUUUUCCUUUUUUUUUUUUUUUUUUAUACAGCUUUAUUGAGAUAUAAUUCACAUACCAUAUAAUCCACCCACUUAACGUGUACAUUUCAGUGAGUUUUAGUGCAUUCCCACAGAAAUGCAACCGUCACCACUUUUUAUCAUCCCCAAAAGAAACCCCAUCCUCAUUAGGAGUCGCUCCCCAUUUCCCUGCAACACUCAUCUACUUUCUGUUUCUGUAGGUUUGCCUGUCGUGCAGAUUUCAUAUAAACGAAACCACGCAGCAUGCGUCUUUCGUGACUGGCUUCCUCCACUUAGCGUGAUGUUUCUGUUUUUCAUUGCUCUUGGGUAUAUACCUAGGAGCAGAAUUGUGGGGUCCUACGAUGACUCUGUGUUUAGCUUUAUUGAGAAACAGCCAGACAAGUUGCCGCAGUGGUUGCCCCAUUUUGUAGCCUCACCAGCGGUGUAUGUGACUUCCGUUCCCCCCACUUUUUUUGAUUUUAUAAAUUGUGGUCAAAUACAUGUAACAUAAAAC